GAUUGGCUGAGCAGGGCCGCGGACAGAGAGAAAUGCCGAGGAAUAGGGGCGCGGCCGCCCGGUUUCGGCGAUGGGUUAUAGGGUCCGCGUCAGCCCCGCGCCCGCACAGCCAACGUCACGCCGCAUUCUUAUUUCCAAAGACCCCUGGAGCUUGGGGUCCCACCCCAGCGGUCUUUCGGGGCGUCCCCUGCCCUUCACGCGCCGCGCCGGCUCGGCCCGAAGCGCCCUGCGGACCCGCAGCCUGGGCCGCCCCGAACCUGACGGCCCCGCGGGGGUCGGACGCGGGAGGAACGGCCUCGCUUUCAGAGACGCAGCGGGAGGGCGGUCCCCGCUGUCCCUCUGGCCGGGUCCUCAGCACGCGUUCUCCUCACUCCCAGGACUAGCGAGCGGCGGGCGCGGACCGGGGCCUGGGGUCGGAGGCGGCGCAGCCAGAAAGGCCCCAGCGGCGCUGAGACGUUUGGGGGAAGGCGGGGGCUUCGCGUUUCGAUGGCGGGAAGCGGAAUGAGGUUGGACCGGCCGGGCCGGCGUUCAGGGACCCGGCGGGAGGCGGAGGGCUGGCGUCCUCGCGGACAUCCAUCUGCAGCGAACCAGGCAGAGGCUUUGGGAUUAGAUCCUUGACUCCUUGCGUCAGUAGUUAAGCUUUGUGAUGGUCUGAGGUCCAUGAAGGGAUUAAAACCAGGAACUGGCUCCUUCUCCAACCACUAAAGCCUCAUCUGGGCCCACAAGCCCUGGCUGUUCCCUGGAGCGUGACUGGAAGAUGUGAGCAGCUUUGUGCUGGAGCCCCAUUUCCAUGGUGCAUGCUGCUGCCAAACCAGAGAUCACUUGUAGACUUGAAAGGGAACAUGAGCUUUGGGUGAAGGAUUCCCAGCCCCCAACAGAGGCCAAAAAGCUACCACCCAGCCAGGCAGAAGGAACAUAAAGUAUGCAUUUUAUGAUACGACUCAGCUUGGAGGGAUGAAGUAGAAGGUCCUCACUGCACCUCAUGGCAGGCUGCUGACGGCAGAUAUUUUACCGGGCUCACUGAACUGGGCAGUCAGGGAAGGGUCGGCUCCUGCUCUGUCCAGCUGUCUUCAUAAGGGACUCUGUGACACUUUUUAUAAAAAUGACUUUGAUUUCUGCAUAAGAAGGCUUCCCAAGCUUGCUGUCUAGCAGUGGCUGCUACAGGGAAUUAUUCACAUGGCAGCAAGAGAGCCCUGGCUCCCUGGACCAGGACAUUCCCUUUGUGUGUGUUGGAAUGAGAGCAGGAGGAGUGCUGGUCAGAAGCCCCUCCCCAGGGCUCUGGGACUUCAGUGUUCUCAGACAAACUGGGCCGCUCCUCUGAGCUGGGAUGCUGACCCACACUUGGCCCCGGCUCUGGCAUCCACAGGACGCUGCCUUAUCCGUCAUCUCGCUGGGGCUGGGGGCUAGAGGCUGAGCAGGUCACACUGAACAAAAGAAGUGUGUCCCCAUCACUAGGCUAACAUCUGAGUUUCUUCCACAGUAUUUGGUAACACAGUCAGAAACAAGACUGAAGAUGAUUCUGGAGGCAACUGGGAACCCCCCAGAACGAUUCUGCAGGCUUCUGGGAAGCUGAAAAACCCCAAGGCCAGACUGGCCUCAGAAUGCCUGAGUCCUUUUGAUUCCACUGGAAAAGCCAUCCAUCUGUGCCAAGUGUGUGGAGAGCUUCAAGAGCCAUAUAGCCCUGGCCACCAUGAGCACAGCCACGUGGGGGAGUAGUCCUGAAAGUGUCCUGGUGUGGCAAAGGCUUUCCACUAAGUGGACCUCAGAUGGCACAGGAAGACCCUCCUGGGGAUGUGGGAGGACACUGCCUAGUGGGUGAGGGGCCGCUCUUUCAGGUGUGCACACUAAAUGCAGAGACAGCCUCUCCUGGCUGCCAAGAAGCCUGUGCAUGAUCCAGGACCACAAAACACUUGCAAACUCACUGCCCAGAGGCCCUGUGCCUGUCUGGAGUGUGCCCAGUGUGUCUGCGCCCCACAGCUUGUCCUGGCCCGCCAGCAGAGCCGCAGCACUGCAGGGCCCUUCUGUUGUGAGUGCCAGGGCCCUUGCUGGCUGCCUGAGCAAGGCAAAAGGUUCAAAACAGGAAGUCUCUGGGCAGCUAUUCCCAGGUGCAGAGGGGAGCAGCGGCCACACAGGUGCCAGUGUGGCAGGAGCUGCAGUCAGAGGCAGCAUCUCAAGAGCCCUGGGAGCAGGGGCCAGCCACGUGAAGCCCACGAGUGUCGCUGGCACAGGGAAGGGACACGAGGAUCACACUGACCCAAGAGAAGGCCCACAGUGAGGAGGCCCCACCGAAGCAUCCCCAGCAACAGGGACUGAGGCAUCUGAGGCAGCCAGCCCACUCGGAAAGGCCUGCUGACUGCACUCCAGAUGUCAAGAGCACCCUUGGGAAAAAGAAAGGCAGGAGUGCAGCACUUUCUAGAGCCUCAGCUCACUUCUCUCCUUCUAGCUCCAGCCGGAGUGAUGGAAGAGGCUGCGCUGGGAGCUGCCUCCCUGGGAGCCUACCCUGCCCAGCCUGAGAGUGGAGGCUACCAGCAUCACGCUUCCCCUAGUGAAAUCCAUCUGUCCUGAAGGGAACCCUGGGACGGGGUCAAGGAAACCCUGUUCACCCCCACCACGGGGUCAGGUCUUCACCAAAGGGAGGCCGCACGGAUUCCCAGUCGCAAACCCAAAGCCUUGCUGCCUUUGCCUCUGUUUCCAUAGUUGUUUCAAUGUCUUUUUUAAAAAUCACAUACACUCGAGUAAGACUGAGUCUCCUCACCGAAGAGAUCUGGCUGUAUCCCGAGUCUCUGAAACCUUUGCUCCAGUCCCGUGGGAGCGUGCCGUCCCGAGGAUGUGGAGCCGCAAGGGCUCGCCAGAGGGAUCUCAGGAGCUAGGCCUCAAGGAGCGCUGUUGAGUGACAGGUCUGAUGCAGUAGCUUUUACUAUUGGUGGAAAUCGAUGUUUUUUCCUUGAAAGUCUACCUUUCUAAGUUCAGUAAACCAAAUUAGAUCAUGUAUGUGAAAGCACUUUGUAAACUAUGCAGUACUCCAGAAAAGGCAGCCAAGCCCUUAAUUAUAACUCACCAAACAGCCAA